rnacentral:rRNA from 1 species
UACGGGGGGGGCAAGCGUUGUUCGGAAUUACUGGGCGUAAAGGGCUCGUAGGCGGCCAACUAAGUCAGACGUGAAAUCCCUCGGCUUAACCGGGGAACUGCGUCUGAUACUGGAUGGCUUGAGGUUGGGAGAGGGAUGCGGAAUUCCAGGUGUAGCGGUGAAAUGCGUAGAUAUCUGGAGGAACACCGGUGGCGAAGGCGGCAUCCUGGACCAAUUCUGACGCUGAGGAGCGAAAGCCAGGGAG